AUUGAACGCCGGCGGUAGGCCUAACACAUGCAAGUCGAACGCGAAAGUCCUUCGGGAUGAGUAGAGUGGCGGACGGGUGAGUAACGCGUAGGAAUCUAUCCUGUAGUGGGGGAUAACGUUUCGAAAGGAACGCUAAUACCGCAUACGCCCCAAGGGGGAAAGCGGGGGAUCUUCGGACCUCGUGCUAUAGGAGGAGCCUGCGUCGGAUUAGCUAGUUGGUGAGGUAAAGGCUCACCAAGGCGACGAUCCGUAGCUGGUCUGAGAGGAUGAUCAGCCACACCGGAACUGAGACACGGACCGGACUCCUACGGGAGGCAGCAGUGGGGAAUAUUGCGCAAUGGGCGAAAGCCUGACGCAGCCAUACCGCGUGUGUGAAGAAGGCCUUCGGGUUGUAAAGCACUUUCAGUGGGGAGGAAAAGCUGGUGGCUAAUAUCCAUCGGCCGUGACGCUACCCACAGAAGAAGCACCGGCUAAUUCCGUGCCAGCCGCCGCCGUAAGAC
rnacentral:rRNA from 1 species